AUUGAACGCUGGCGGCAUGCCUAACACAUGCAAGUCGAGCGGAUGAAGGGAGCUUUCUCCUUUCUUCUGUGGCGGACGGGUGAGUAAUUCCUAGGAAUCUGCCUUGUAGUGAGGGCUAGCGUCCGUACACGAGCGCUAAUACCACACCCGUCCUGAUUUUGAACGGGGGGGUUCUUCGGACCUCACGGUUUUUGCUGAGCCUAGUUCGGAUUAGCUAGUUGGUUGGGUAAAGGCGUACCAAGGCGACGAUCCGUAACUGGGCUGAGAGGAUGAUCAGUCACACUGGAACUGAGACACGGUCCAGACUCCUACGGGAGGCAGCAGUAGGGAAUAUUGGACAAUGGGCGAAAGCCUGAUGCAGCAACGCCGCGUGAGUGAAGAAGGUCUUCGGAUUGUAAAGCUCUGUUAGUUGGGAAGAAGAGAAGUGAAAGUAAACGUUGAUGUCUUGACGGUACCAAAAGAAUAAGCAACGGCUAACUACGUG
rnacentral:rRNA from 1 species